GGAGGAUUACCCAAGUCCGGCUGAAGGGAACGGUCUUGAAAACCGUCAGGCGGGUUUUGCCCGCGCGUGGGUUCGAAUCCCACAUCCUCCU
rnacentral:tRNA from 1 species